UUACUCUUUUUAAAAUUAGAACUCAAGGCUGCGUUAUAAGACAAAAGAUUGGGCCCUGAAGAAAGAAGAGUAUGAAAAUGAAAUUGAAAGACUUUCGGGUGAAAUAUCAAAUUACUUGAAUGUUACCAAUUUCUGGUAUGAAGAGUCUGAGCUUCUCAGUGGCCAAGCAAAAAGAAUAUUAACUGAACCAAAGAAGCAUGUCAGCACUCAAACAGAUGGACUGGAGAAAAGAACAGUUGAAACUCAGACUGAAGAAGAUGAUUCAAGGGUGAAUCUGAGUAGCAGAAAUCCAGUAUAAUUGUAAUCUUAGUACUGGAGAGUAUUUAAGUUUGACAUUUUAAAUUUUAUUGAAUGUAUUAAAAUAUUUAUAUCUAU